UACAGAGGUCCCAAGCGUUGUUCGGAUUCACUGGGCGUAAAGGGUGCGUAGGUGGUGGGGUAAGUCCGAUGUGAAAGCUCCGAGCUCAACUCGGAAAUUGCAUUAGAAACUACCUUGCUGGAGGGUUGGAGGGGGGACUGGAAUUCUCGGUGUAGCAGUGAAAUGCGUAGAUAUCGAGAGGAACACCAGUGGCGAAGGCGAGUCCCUGGACAACUCCUGACACUGAGGCACGAAAGCUAGGGGAGCAAACAGG
rnacentral:rRNA from 1 species